rnacentral:tRNA from 1 species
UUCCUGAUGGUCCAGUGGCUAAGAAUUCCUGCUUCCAAUGCAAGGGACACAGGUUCAAUACCUGGUCAGGGAA